rnacentral:lncRNA from 1 species
UUUAUUUGUCCAUUUUCGCUAAGAAAUAAGCAGUUUAUAAUGCUCUAAAGAUGGUUAGUUGAAAAUGCCAAAUGCAGAAAAUGAAGAACAUCGUUUUUUUCCGUAAAUUUUAUGGCUAUGUUUAGCAUGAAUUUUAUUUCUGUUUGAGUUUUUUCCUAAUAGCAUCUUGUUCUAUGCCAUGCGACCAUUCCAAUGCAUAUUUAUUUG